AGACACAUCGGGUCUCUCCAAGGCAUGGUGGGGGGAGGCGAUAUUGACAGCAUGUCAUGUCCUAAAUCGAGUUCCCACAAAGAACAAAGAGAUAACUCCAUUCGAGGAAUGGGAGAAGAAAAGGUUAAAACUCUCUUAUCUGCGAACAUGGGGUUGUUUGGCGAAAGUCAAUGUUCCAAUUCCAAAGAAGCGGAAACUUGGACCAAAGACUGUGGAUUGUGUUUUCUUGGGAUAUGCUUUUCAUAGCAUUGGCUAUAGAUUCUUGGUUGUAAAAUCUGAGGUACCUGACAUGCAUGUCGGUACGAUCAUGGAGUCGAAUGAUGCGACUUUCUUUGAAGAUAUCUUUCCCAUGAAGGAUAUGGCUACCUCAUCUAAUCAGGAGAUGCCUAGUUCAUCGAAUCAGGAACCAGUUACAAUUACCGAACCUGCCAUUUCGAUGGAACACUUUGAAAAUCCCGUGGAGGAGAACAAUGAAGUUCCUAUUAGGAGCAAGAGACGGAGGACUGCAAAGUCCUUUGGUGAUGAUUUUCUUGUGUAUCUCAUAGAUGACACUCCCAGUUCUAUUUCAGAGGCUUAUGCAUCUGAAGAUGCUGACUACUGGAAGGAAGCAGUUCGUAGCGAGAUGGAUUCCAUCUUGGCGAAUGAAACUUGGGAGAUAACUGAUCGUCCUUAUGGGUGCAAACCUAUAGGAUGCAAAUGGGUAUUCAAGAAGAAGCUUAGGCCUGAUGGUACUAUUGAAAAGUACAAGGCUCGGCUCGUGGCUAAGGGUUAUACCCAAAAGGAAAGUGAAGAUUUCUUUGAUACUUACUCACCUGUGGCUCGACUGACCACUAUUCGAGUUCUACUUUCACUAGCUGCCUCACAUGGUCUUCUCGUUCAUCAAAUGGAUGUUAAGACUGCUUUCCUGAAUGGAGAGUUGGAUGAGGAAAUUUAUAUGGAACAACCAGAUGGGUUUGUAAUAGAUGGUCAGGAAGGGAAAGUGUGCAAAUUGCUGAAGUCUUUGUACGGACUCAAGCAAGCACCCAAACAGUGGCAUGAGAAGUUCGAAAGAACUUUAACAGCUGCAGGCUUUGUUGUGAACGAAGCUGACAAAUGUGUGUACUAUCGCCAUGGUGGGGGCGAGGGAGUUAUGCUUUGCUUGUAUGUUGAUGACAUACUGAUUUUUGGAACAAAU
rnacentral:rRNA from 1 species